rnacentral:rRNA from 1 species
UACAGAGGUCUCAAGCGUUGUUCGGAUUCAUUGGGCGUAAAGGGUGCGUAGGCGGCGCGGUAAGUCGGGUGUGAAAUCUCGGAGCUUAACUCCGAAACUGCAUUCGAUACUGCCGUGCUUGAGGACUGGAGAGGAGACUGGAAUUUACGGUGUAGCGGUGAAAUGCGUAGAUAUCGGGAGGAACACCAGUGGCGAAGGCGGCGAUCUGGGAAGAUACUGACGCUGAGGUGCGAAAGCGUGGGGAGCAAACAGG